rnacentral:rRNA from 1 species
UAAAGCUAAUCUGAGCAGGGUAAGCCGACCCCUAAGGCGAGGCCGAAAGGCGUAGUCGAUGGGAACCAGGUUAAUAUUCCUGGGCCAGAUGGAAGUGACGGAUUGCAGAGGUUGUUCAUCCUUAUCGGAUUGGAUGGGCCGCUGAGCAGUUCCUGGAAAUAGCUCCAUCAUGAGAUCGUACCCUAAACCGACACAGGUGGACUGGUAGAGAAUACCAAGGCGCUUGAGAGAACGAUGUUGAAGGAACUCGGCAAAAU